UUAAAACGAAGGGACUCGAUUCAGGGCCAUGCUAUUUUAAAUGAAAUGACCUUGAUGUUAUCUCACUCGUAGAGACGAGAGAGACUCUAUUGUGAGGCACUGCUCUAUCACAGUCCUCCUUGUUAGGGCAGAGAAAGCUACAGAACGAAAAAGGCAAGGCCAACUUCUUUUUUCAGAUUCAGCUGGAGCCGGACACUGAGAAAAAUCAAGUCCUCCUGUUGACACAGAGAGCCACGUUGACUGCAGACUAGUGAGAAAACUGAGGCCCAGAAAGAUGCUCCACCACUGGUCUCAUAGCAACGCUUACGGUGAACUAAUUAGGCAAGAGGAUCUAAGUGCCACGAAUGUCCACGGGGAGCCAAGGCAAAAACACCCACCACCUAUGGGGACAGCUGCACCCUACUUCUCGCUGUGGGAAGGACCUGGAGGACAGUGAUGGGGAAAUCUUCCCCAGUGGGCAGCACUUUAGCAGUUCACCUGGUUGUUCAUUUUGCCUGGAAGAGAGAUGGCUAGAGUAGCCGCUCUGGAAAGGCCCAUGAGCUCCCUCCUCCUCACAGCCCGGUCGCAGCCUCGGGAGCUCAGGGGACAU